rnacentral:rRNA from 1 species
AACGAACGCUGGCGGCAUGCCUAACACAUGCAAGUCGAACGAGACCUUCGGGUCUAGUGGCGCACGGGUGCGUAACGCGUGGGAAUCUGCCCUUGGGUUCGGAAUAACAGUUGGAAACGACUGCUAAUACCGGAUGAUGACGUGAGUCCAAAGAUUUAUCGCCCAAGGAUGAGCCCGCGUAGGAUUAGCUAGUUGGUGAGGUAAAGGCUCACCAAGGCGACGAUCCUUAGCUGGUCUGAGAGGAUGAUCAGCCACACUGGGACUGAGACACGGCCCAGACUCCUACGGGAGGCAGCAGUGGGGAAUAUUGGACAAUGGGCGAAAGCCUGAUCCAGCAAUGCCGCGUGAGUGAUGAAGGCCUUAGGGUUGUAAAGCUCUUUUACCCGGGAUGAUAAUGACAGUACCGGGAGAAUAAGCUCCAGCUAACUCCGUG